rnacentral:rRNA from 1 species
UACGUAGGCCCCAAGCGUUAUCCGGAAUUACUGGGUGUAAAGCGUCUGUAGGCGGGACAAUAAGUCUCUCAUGAAAGACCGAAGCUCAACUUCGUGUUUGUGAGGGAUACUGUUAUCCUAGAAUUAGGGAGAGGGAAGCGGAAUGGUAUGAGUAGGGGUGCAAUCCGUUGAUACAUAUCAGAACACCAAAAGCGAAGGCAGCUUCCUGGAACUAUAUUGACGCUGAGAGACGAAAGCGUGGGGAGCGAAAAGG